rnacentral:rRNA from 1 species
AGGAUGAACGCUGGCGGCGUGCCUAAUACAUGCAAGUCGAGCGGUAAGGCUCUCACUCUGUGCUUAAUUUGUUGAGCAUGGUGUGAGAGUACACGAGCGGCGGACGGCUGAGUAACGCGUAGGAACGUACCCCAAAGUGAGGGAUAAGCCCGGGAAACCGGGUCUAAUACCGCAUGUGCUCUUCGGAGUAAAGCUUUAUGCGCUUUGGGAACGGCCUGCGUCCGAUUAGCUUGUUGGUGAGGUAAAAGCUCACCAAGGCGACGAUCGGUAGCUGGUUUGAGAGGAUGAUCAGCCAGACUGGGACUGAGACACGGCCCAGACUCCUACGGGAGGCAGCAGUAGGGAAUUUUCCACAAUGGGCGAAAGCCUGAUGGAGCAACGCCGCGUGCAGGAUGAAGGCCUUCGGGUCGUAAACUGCUUUUCUGAUCGACGAAUAUGACGGUAGGUCAGGAAUAGGGUCUGCUACUACGCGCCAGCAGCCG